AUAGAACGCUGGCGGCAUGCCUUACACAUGCAAGUCGAACGGUAACAGGUCUUCGGAUGCUGACGAGUGGCGAACGGGUGAGUAAUACAUCGGAACGUGCCUAGUAGUGGGGGAUAACUACUCGAAAGAGUGGCUAAUACCGCAUGAGAUCUACGGAUGAAAGCAGGGGAUCGCAAGACCUUGUGCUACUAGAGCGGCCGAUGGCAGAUUAGGUAGUUGGUGGGAUAAAAGCUUACCAAGCCGACGAUCUGUAGCUGGUCUGAGAGGACGAUCAGCCACACUGGGACUGAGACACGGCCCAGACUCCUACGGGAGGCAGCAGUGGGGAAUUUUGGACAAUGGGCGCAAGCCUGAUCCAGCAAUGCCGCGUGCAGGAUGAAGGCCUUCGGGUUGUAAACUGCUUUUGUACGGAACGAAAAGCCCCGGGUUAAUACCCUGGGGUCAUGACGGUACCGUAAGAAUAAGCACCGGCUAACUACGUGCCAGCGGCCGCCGCCG
rnacentral:rRNA from 1 species